rfam:Camelus ferus unplaced genomic scaffold scaffold1006, whole genome shotgun sequence.
GGGAGUAUAGCCCAGUGGGAGAGCUCGUGCUUAGCACACACAAGGUCCUGGGUUCAAUCCCCAGUACCUCCA